AGUGUUGUAGCUCAAUGAGAGAGCACCUGCUUUGCAUGCAGAAGGUUCCAGGUUCAAUCCCCAAGUAAGGCUG